CCGGGGCUAGUGUUUCUUCACUUGUUCCUGUUUGGGAUGACAUCAUGGUAAACUGGUUGCGUGUUCCUCCCACCCCUCUUCCCUGAGUAGUUUGCCAAUUAGGUAGGUUUCUAUAUAAGUGAAAUGUACCUAUCGCUUUACCUUGUUUCCUGCUCUUGUGCCCGCCUAUGUUUCUGAGCAUCUUUUGGUGAGAGGUACAUGUAACCGUGCAGUCUUGUUCCUCUGUUUUAAGGUUCAAUAUCCACAGCAGUGAAUGCAUAAACCUUUGUAUUUGUAGUUUCCUGGCUUGUAGUAAAUCGCUGGAUCCUACUGUGAACCAGUUGUUGCUGCAUAUGGGUAUCUGUGGGCCAGAGUGAGCGGUUCGCUUGCCUGAGGUAGCCUAAUAGUAAAGUGAGGGUGUGUCUUCACCAAUCAAGGUUUCCUCAAUGUGCUGCUGUUUUGCCUCUUUUUAUUAGUGCAACAUUACUUGCCUACAACUUAUUAACCACUUGUAGGUUUCCGCUGUGCUUAGGAUUUGGUAGGCUAAUCUAACUUUGUCAGAAGGGUGUUUCGUAGUUGUACUACACUUGCUACCCUGAACGCUCCUGAAGUGUAUUCAUGCUGGUCGUGUUUUACUGCCAUUGUGCAGCUGUUAAAUCUCCAUUCUUUUACAUUAAACGGGCUAAACUGCGUUUGUUGGCGGAGAUACGGGAAAGACUGGCCUACCCGAAUUGCCAUUUUAAUUUCGAAAUGAUCUAAACUGACCAACUGGUUCUUUGUAUCUGAUUCAUUGUUUUUAACUAGAUCUAUUACAUUGUUUAAAUUAAGGUUGGCGGUGAGCCCAGCGCUGCUCUGGUGGGGAGGUUAGUCGGUUAGGUCCCUCACUGUUUGCGUUCCUGUUAAUGGUAAUUGCACUGAAUCACUUAUUUAACACAAAUUUGAUUGUGUUUCAGAUGAGGUGGCACGCGUGGUGGUAAGUAGAAUUCACUUGGACAGCCCCUAUUGUUAGUAUACCUCCCACCGAGUGGAUUCUGGGCUCAUUCAUUACCGCCCUCUAGUCGUCAUUUUUAGUAUUUUUUAACAAAGUAGUCUGGAAGUCCGUGUAUGUAUUUUGAUGUUAAAUUAAUAAAAGUUGGUAUCAUUGCUUAAAUUCUUCUGCUAUUUUCUUGUACCUUCUAAUUGUUUUGGCUAUUUGAGCUUGAUUCUUCCAUACAGGUACUUCCAGCCCUCUUAAAUCUUAAUAAAAGUUAAAAUCAUUUCUUUUGAACCACGUCUCUGUCUUCUUUCAAUGAAAGAACCUGGGAAACUGUUGUAAAGUGUCAGAACUGGUUAUGUCCUUGGGUGAAAUUCCCAAGGUGGCUUAGUCUGGCUACUUACCCUUACCCAUUGCCACAAUUUGGCGUAUAUGUCAGCAGGAUUGUAAAAGCAGAGACGUGUGUUUCUUUGUGUUUCCUUUAAACCAGUUGGUUUUUGUAGACUGUGGACUGUAGACUGUUUAUUGGUAUUUUAAUAUAGAGGCAAAACAGCAGCUGGAUCGACAACGGUAGAUCAGAAGAAACCCCUGGUUGCAGAUUGGACUGGAACAAGCCAAGAAACCCUGACCUUCUGUCUUUAGUAACGUGUCUGCUAACUUUGUUCUACCUUUUUCUGUAGAAAUGGAAAGAGAAUUGCAGGAAUUAAGGGAAAUAGUGCAGCAGCUAAGAGUAGAUAAUGAACACCUUUUGCAGGAACGUGCAGAAGCUCAGGCUGCCCCUAGAGCACCUUUUGAGUCUAACAACCCUAGGUUUUCUAAUUCUAACCAUGUCCCAAUGUCCCUACUUCUCUGUGCCCAGGGAGAGGAAAUGUCCCGUUUUUAUGGGUAACACCGGGAUGAGCAUUAUGGAGUGGGUUGAGGGCGUCCGCUCUAGUAUGCGGGCCCGGCAUUUAGCUCCUGUUGAUCAAGCAUAUUUUAUCUAUGAUCACCUGGAUGGAGAAGCCAAAGAUGAGAUCAGAUAUAAGCCCAGAGAUGACAGGGAAGAUCCUGAAAGGAUUUUAACCAUUCUCCAAGAACUGUAUGGGUGUUCUCAUUCUUAUGUUGCUUUGCAGGAGAGCUUCUUUUCUAGAAAGCAGCGGGAGGGUGACUCUUUGCAGGAGUAUUCUCAUGCUUAAUUUUGCCUGAUGGAGAAAGUUGUGAAAAUUGCCCCUGAUGGGAUGUCUAAUUCUGCUAUUUUGUUAAGAGAUCAGUUUGUUGAACAUGUGCUUGAUUCUGCUCUCCGCAGGGAAUUGAAGCAGAUAGUCCGCCGCAACUCACACUCUACACUCUCCUAGACAUUCGAGGGGAAGCUAUUCAGUGGGAACGGGAAGGUAGGUCAUGUGAGGGCAGGGCAAGAAGCUAUUCUGUUCCAUCCUUGUGUGCUAUGCAGAGUUCCAGGGUGCAGGGCAGGGCAGAAGCGGUGUCCAGUAACCCCUCUAGUGGAGAAAUGGCAGAGUUGAGGGAAAUUAUGAAACGGCAACAAGAACAGCUUAACCAUCUUACAGAACGCCUCAUGCUCUUGCAACCUCCCCCGAGACACCCCUCUAACCGUAGUGGUCCAAUAAUUUGUAGACGCUGUCAACAACCAGGUCAUUAUGCAGGUAAUUGUGAUAAUGAAA